rnacentral:tRNA from 1 species
AACCCCAUGUAUUGCUGUGUGGCCAGUCAGGGGUUCGAUUCCCACCCUCUC